rnacentral:lncRNA from 1 species
AUUUGCUCAAAUCAAGAUUCAUAUCCAUUGUGAAUAAACAAAAAUCAUUCAUGUCAUAUCAAAUUGAAAACACGAAGAUGAGAUGCAAGCUUGUCCCACGACGUAGAAAACAAUAAUUAACAGUAAAUAUAGAGGAAGGAAAGAGUAGUCGAGGGGGGUUAGCCACAACCAUUUCACAAUAAAAAGAGGAAAAAAUUGACUACAGGGGGUUAUCUGCGGCUGCUCCUUGCGGCUUCCCAUAGUGGCUCUCUUCCUCAUCUUUUAUGAUAAAAUCAUUUAGACGUUUUCAAGACAUCCUCCUAGUUGCUCUUAUUUUGACAAGUGUUUGCCUUAUUUUGUGGAGUUCAAGUGUUUAGGAAGCCAUGUGAAAGGCAAGAAAACUUAAUGUUAUUUCUCUCUAAAAGAUCGUGUUUUGAUGAAUGAUAAUGAGGUCUCAGUUUAUAAGCUUAUGCCCCAAACGUCUUUGCUAUUUUUUGCAAAGAGAUUGCUUGAUUUCUCCCCAUGAUUGACGUCCCUUGAAUGGUGGAAGUGGGUGAAGAUUUUGCUUG